AGAGUUUGAUCCUGGCUCAGGACGAACGCUGGCGGCGCGCCUAACACAUGCAAGUCGAACGAGCGGGAGAGAGCUUGCUUUCUCAAGCGAGUGGCGAACGGGUGAGUAACGCGUGAGGAACCUGCCUCAAAGAGGGGGACAACAGUUGGAAACGACUGCUAAUACCGCAUAAGCCCACGACCCGGCAUCGGGUAGAGGGAAAAGGAGCAAUCCGCUUUGAGAUGGCCUCGCGUCCGAUUAGCUAGUUGGUGAGGUAAUGGCCCACCAAGGCGACGAUCGGUAGCCGGACUGAGAGGUUGAACGGCCACAUUGGGACUGAGACACGGCCCAGACUCCUACGGGAGGCAGCAGUGGGGAAUAUUGCACAAUGGGGGAAACCCUGAUGCAGCGACGCCGCGUGGAGGAAGAAGGUCUUCGGAUUGUAAACUCCUGUUGUUGAGGAAGAUAAUGACGGUACUCAACAAGGAAGUGACGGCUAACUACGUGCCAGCAGCCGCGGUAAAACGUAGGUCACAAGCGUUGUCCGGAAUUACUGGGUGUAAAGGGAGCGCAGGCGGGAAGACAAGUUGGAAGUGAAAUCCAUGGGCUCAACCCAUGAACUGCUUUCAAAACUGUUUUUCUUGAGUAGUGCAGAGGUAGGCGGAAUUCCCGGUGUAGCGGUGGAAUGCGUAGAUAUCGGGAGGAACACCAGUGGCGAAGGCGGCCUACUGGGCACCAACUGACGCUGAGGCUCGAAAGUGUGGGUAGCAAACAGGAUUAGAUACCCUGGUAGUCCACACCGUAAACGAUGAUUACUAGGUGUUGGAGGAUUGACCCCUUCAGGGCCGGCAGUUAACACAAAUAAAGUAAUCCACCUGGGGAGUACGACCGCAAGGUUGAAACUCAAAGGAAUUGACGGGGGCCCGCACAAGCAGUGGAGUAGGUGGUUUAAUUCGACGCAACGCGAAGAACCUUACCAAGUCUUGACAUCCUGCGACGAUGCUGGAAACAGUAUUUUCCUUCGGGACGCAGAGACAGGUGGUGCAUGGUUGUCGUCAGCUCGUGUCGUGAGAUGUUGGGUUAAGUCCCGCAACGAGCGCAACCCUUAUGGUCAGUUACUACGCAAGAGGACUCUGGCCAGACUGCCGUUGACAAAACGGAGGAAGGUGGGGAUGACGUCAAAUCAUCAUGCCCUUUAUGACUUGGGCUACACACGUACUACAAUGGCGUUAAACAAAGAGAAGCAAGACCGCGAGGUGGAGCAAAACUCAGAAACAACGUCCCAGUUCGGAAAGCAGGCUGCAACUCGCCUGCACGAAGUCGGAAUUGCUAGUAAUCGUGGAUCAGCAUGCCACGGUGAAUA
rnacentral:rRNA from 1 species